GUCCACGCCGUAAACGAUGCAUACUAGGUGUUGGCCCUUUUGGGUCAGUGCUGCAGUUAACGCAUUAAGUAUGCCACCUGGGGAGUACGUCGGCAACGAUGAAACUCAAAGGAAUUGACGGGGGCCCGCACAAGCGGUGGAGCAUGUGGCUUAAUUCGAUGCAACGCGAGGAACCUUACCUGGGCUAAAUCCACAGCGCUACCUCUGGAAACAGAGGGUUCCUUCGGGACGCUAUGGAAGGUG
rnacentral:rRNA from 1 species